UCGUUACAAGGGCAAACCAUCCGAAAGGAUGGGACGCAAAGCCACCUGCCUGGGGUCGCAAGACGACGGUAGAGGGGCCGCAGAA
rnacentral:ncRNA from 1 species